rnacentral:tRNA from 1 species
GCGCUCGUGGUCCAAAGGACACGACGCCUGCCUACGGAGCAGGAGAUGGGGGUUCGAUUCCUCUCGGGCGCG